rnacentral:rRNA from 1 species
GAUGAACGCUGGCGGCGUGCUUAACACAUGCAAGUCGAACGUGAGAAUAGCAAUAUUUGAAAGUGGCAAACGGGUGAGUAACACGUGGGAACCUGCCUCGAAGUGGGGGAUAACGAUUGGAAACGGUCGCUAAUACCGCACGGUUCUGCUCUGAUGGGAAUGGAGCAGAUAAAGAUUUAUCGCUUUGAGAGGGGCCCGCGGCCGAUUAGCUAGUUGGUAAGGUAAAGGCUUACCAAGGCGAUUAUCGGUAGCUGGUCUGAGAGGACGAUCAGCCACACGGGAACUGAGACACGGUCCCGACUCCUACGGGGGCAGCAGUGAGGAAUAUUGGGCAAUGGGCGAAAGCCUGACCCAGCAACGCCGCGUGGAGGAUGAAGGCUUUAGGGUUGUAAACUCCUUUUGUGGGGAAAGAAUGGAUGGUACCCCAAGAAUAAGUCACGGCUAACUACGUG